AACUUUUAACAACGGAUCUCUUGGCACUCGCAUCGAUGAAGAACGCAGCGAAUUGCGAUAAGUAAUGUGAAUUGCAGAAUUCAGUGAAUCAUCGAAUCUUUGAACGCACCUUGCGCUCCUUGGUAUUCUGAGGAGCAUGCCUGUUUGAGUGUCAUGAAAUUCUCAACUGCUUUGGCUCUUUAUAGCUGAAGGGAAGUUGGAUUUUGGAGGAAUAAUUGCUGGCGUGAUCUUUUUAGGUUGCUUGUUAGCUCCUCUUAAAUGGAUGAACUUUCCAGUAGUAAAGUGACACCAAUGUGAUAAUUAUCUACGUUGGAUAAGCGUGUACAAGGAAAGAUGAAAUCUGCCUUGGAGGGGAAACCCCCUUGACAAAAUAAAUGACAAAUUUGACCUCAAAUCAGGUAGGACUACCCGCUGAACUUAAGCAUAUCAAUAAGCGGAGGCU
rnacentral:misc_RNA from 1 species